rfam:Cochliobolus heterostrophus C5 unplaced genomic scaffold COCHEscaffold_1, whole genome shotgun sequence.
ACAUACGGCCAUAGGAUCUCAGGCAGCAAGAAAACCCGUUCGAUCUUUCAUAUUUAAGCUGGAUACCGGCGGACUAGUAGUCAGGUGGGUGACCACUGGCGAAUCCCCGCUGUCGUAUGUU